AUGGCGACCGGCGCACGGGUGAGUAACACGUAUCCAACCUGCCGAUAACUCCGGAAUAGCCUUUCGAAAGAAAGAUUAAUACCCGAUAGCAUAAUGAUUCCGCAUGGUUUCAUUAUUAAAGGAUUCCGGUAAAGGAUGGGGAUGCGUUCCAUUAGGUUGUUGGUGAGGUAACGGCUCACCAAGCCUUCGAUGGAUAGGGGUUCUGAGAGGAAGGUCCCCCACAUUGGAACUGAGACACGGUCCAA
rnacentral:rRNA from 1 species